AGCGUAGGCGGACAUUUAAGUCAGGGGUGAAAUCUCGGGGCUCAACCUCGGAAUUGCCUUUGAUACUGGGUGUCUUGAGUAUGAGAGAGGUGUGUGGAACUCCGAGUGUAGAGGUGAAAUUCGUAGAUAUUCGGAAGAACACCAGUGGCGAAGGCGACACACUGGCUCAUUACUGACGCUGAGGCUCGAAAGCGUGGGGAGCAAACA
rnacentral:rRNA from 1 species